GACGUAGGGCGCGAGCGUUGUCCGGAUUUAUUGGGCGUAAAGAGCUCGUAGGCGGUUCGUCGCGUCGGCUGUGAAAACCUGAGGCUCAACCUCAGGCCUGCAGUCGAUACGGGCGGACUUGAGUACUGCAGGGGAGACUGGAAUUCCUGGUGUAGCGGUGAAAUGCGCAGAUAUCAGGAGGAACACCGGUGGCGAAGGCGGGUCUCUGGGCAGUAACUGACGCUGAGGAGCGAAAGCGUGGGGGAGCGAACAGG
rnacentral:rRNA from 1 species